CAAUUGGCCAAGACACAUUACAAGGACAACCUUCUCCCAGCAACCUGGCAUUUCCACUCCAGUUGGAAUCUUCUGCAACACAAAGAUGCACGCGGGAGAAAGACUAAAUAAACAAACCUUUCAGAUUUCCGCUCCAGCCAUUUCCUUUUGCUGAAUCAUCUUUGGAGAUGAAGAUUCACUGUCCAGCGCUUCCCACAUAAUCAUCUUCAUAUUUCUGUAAUCAGUUCUGGGCCCUGUAUUUUAAGAGAAAGAUGGGAAUGGUGACGAUUGCUAAGAAGAAAGAAAACAAUGUUGUGAGAGAACUUAAAACUUGGGUUACCAAGUAUAUUCCUGAAGGAGCUGGUGGUGUUUGGCCUGAAAAAAUGAAAAUUCAAAGGGCUCCAAAUUUUUUAAGGGUUCUCAUUUAGAAGAUGGAUUCAUCAAGCUUUGACAACCCCUCCUGGUGCUGCCAUGUUUCCUGUCAGAUGUCAAUGAUUAACUAAGCUCCAAGUGCAGCCUCAGGACCCCACGAAUGUGGUCCCAUCAGCAGUCAUUACUAUGUAGGACUCUGGAUGAAUAUUCUGAUGCUGGACAUUGUCAGUGUGCUGCUGAGGGUUCAAUGGAGACCAAUGGGUAAAAGACAGGGACUCAACUUUAAACACAGUCAUAGGAGUCAGUGAUGGAAUAGGUUGCUCCCAGAGGUGGCAAGUCUCCCAACAUGAGACAUUUUCAGAGGUUUGCUUUAGGAAAAAUUUCAACUUAUCAAUUCCUGUGAUGGCUCUACCCUCCCACCCCUACCCCUAUGGUGAAAAAUGCAGAAGAAACUAUCUCUGAGAAAUGGCAAAGGCAGAGAUCAGGCCAGGGGUUGGUGGGGGGGCUUCUUUGGGUCAUGAAGGCUUUGGACUCCAUGAAGGAAGAUGCUCUAAGGAAGCCUGGACCCCAAGCAAGGCGUUUCUACCACAGCAUUCACGUAGGACACGUCAAGAGCCCCCAUCUUGCAGGGAAUACUGGUGGCUUGGAAAUUUGGGCCCUUAGGGGCAAAUGUGACAAGCUGGAGAGUAGUGAGCUUCUAACCAUUAUGCCUCCCAAAUUCUAAAGUGACUCUGAGAGUGGAAAGGGACCUCUCAGAGUGUCCAUUUCUCACAAUUUGCAAGGGUCUCUCUGGACACUUGCCUGGGGAACUGUCACACAGAUACAACAGAACUCUAUUUUAGCUAAGGUUGUGUUUACUUAGAUACACCCUCACCUGCCAGGUUUUCGGUAUUCCACCCCCAAACCUAACAAAUCCAGUAAAUCCUUGACGGGACAUGGCCAACAGCUCAGAGUUGAUAGAGGCACCUCCCACCUGUGAGAAGAGGAGGGUCCUGUUUCGCAGCAUCUGGGCUAUAGAGGGCCUUCAUUGUGCUUAAAAAAAAAAAAAGAAUAGGUUUUCUUAUCAGUUUCUUAAGGUUGCUUUGGCAAGCAACUAGGGAGCAGGCUUGUAAUAUUUCUUACAUACUAUGCUCGAAUCGCUAAUGCAAAAUCAAUUAUCCCACCAUCAUUUUAGACACUGUGUGAAAAGUACAAGAGUUAUACUAAUGAUUCAGAGAAUACAAUUUGCCCCCAUGGAAGUGGUACUGCUUUAUCACUGAUAGUUCUCACCCUGUGCUUAACCUUGAACGAUUUUCCUUUUCCAACCAGUAUCCCAGUGCCAUGAUGUCACCCACGACUGUUUAGAUCCGCCCGCCAGGUCUACAUUAGCAAAUACUCCAGGGCCAGUAAAGUCACUUGGUUGCCAGCAGCUGCAGUUAUUGCUGCAUUGGCCAGCCGGCGCUUUGCUUAUCAUCAAACCCAGUCCAGAGUAAGCUUUAGAAAAAGCCCAGGUAUUGCCCGUCAUUGCAAGACACAAAGACUGUUUCCCACGGCCAGGUGUUUUUCCAGGGCCCUAGUCAGACUGCUACGACAAAAAAGUCCUAGGACAAUGUCACGGGAUGAGGAAAAUGUCCUGUAUAAGCACUGAGAAUUAAUACUUAGUUGCAUUUUUUUUUCUAAAGGCGGCACAGCACUAAAUGACUGCUAGUCUUCAGCACUUUUACGACUGAUACUGUGGGAGCUAGCGUAUUUUGAGGGCUUUCUAUCUGCCAAGCUCUAUGAUACAGAAUUUUUUGCAUUAUCUUAUUAAAUCCUCAUCACCUGAUGAGGCAUCAAUUUUUUCCCCAUUAUAGAAAUGUGGUACGGAGUGUUUAAGAAAUUUGCCAAAGUCAUAAAGCCAGUCAUUUUGGAAAGAGUGGAUGAAAGGUCAAAAAAGAUUUGGUGAGUUCUGGCUUCCAGAAUCAUUUAAUUUAAUCCAAUUUUGUAGCAAUUGUAAGACUACCUAUGCUUGAAUCCUGGAUCCACAGUUCACUUAGAUUGUUUUGACUCAGCUUCUUUGUUGACCAAAUGGGUCCAAUAACAGCAUUUACAUCAAAGGGUUGCAAAACUUAAAGGGAUGAUAAUAACAUUAGUUAAUAUUUAUGGAUGCUUAUCAUGUGCCAGGCACUGCUUCUGAGUUCAUUGAACAUAUCUGCUUAUUUAUUUCUUUUUUAAAAAGAUUUAUUUAUUUAUUUUAGAGAGAGAAUGAGUGCUCAUGCAAACACGCACAAGAGAAAGGGUAGAGGAAGAGAAUCCUCAGACGCACCACUGAACGUGGAGCCCAAUGUGAGGCUCAGUCCCCUGGCCCAUGAGCUCAGGACCUGAGCUGAAACAAAGAGUCAGAUACUCAACUGACUGAACCACCCAGGUGCCCCUCUACUUAUUUAUUUCUGACCACAAAUUGUGAAGUUGAUAGAAUACUAUCUCCUUUUAGAGAUGGGGAUGCUGAACCACAUAGAAGUUAAGUAACUUUCCCAAGAUUAUGUAUGAAGUCAAUGGUAGAGCUGGGAUAUAAACCCAGGAAGCCUGUGCUUGGAGCCACCACCCUGUUACCUUCAGGAAUGUAGGUAACCCACCACAUGGCAACUGAUCAAUAAAUGUUCAUCAUUUAAGAACAUAACUAUGCUAGAUGCUAUGCUAGCACUUCAUAAAUAAUUUCAAAAAAUUCUCAUGAACCCCUUAUAAGGUAGCCAUGAACCCACUUUUGCAUAUUUGGACACUUACAGAUGAAGUACUUUACCCAAGAUUACAUCUCUUUUUAACAUCACGUGUGAGUAACUCUACUGGGAUACAGACCUUUUGCCUCUUGAAUCGCAAAACAUAUGGUUUUGAUCGUAGCCAAAUAGCCAGACUACUGUCUGGCUUUAGGAAUAACAUCCCCAGAUAAUAGCAUAUUUUUAUGCAAGCCUUCUGCAUUUUCUGUGUCGCUCAAAUGGCUCCCAUGUAAUCUCUCCGAUGUUUAUUUAGGUUUGGUUUCUGGAGUUAUGAAAUUGAUCAUCUUUUGCUACAACUUUUUUUUUCUUUCUCCCCUCUGCUUUAACACACAAAGUCUCCACAUUCAGUGAAGCAUUGGCACUGCAUGAUCCAUUUCACAUUCUAGGACUCUGCUGCUCCUCACUUUGGGGUGAUAUAUCAGACAAUCAGUCACAGCAAGAUGCUAAAUGCCAGAUGUUGCUUUGUCAGCUAGGAUCAUCCUUUGAACAUCUGUCUCCAGUCCUGAGAGGGGAAAUGCCCUAAUGUGCCAAAAACAUGGCUAUUUAUAAGGAAGUGUCUGGCUGUUAAUUAGGUAUCAGGAGUGAUCCAAAGAAGUAAAGUUACCCCAAAGGAAACUUGCCACAUUCUGUAAACUCUGAUCAUCUCAGUGGGUGAGCAUCGUAGGGAUAUUGGCAUACUGUAAGGAAGAACUUACUCGGCACCCUUUUCUUGCCUUCUUUCCAUCCCAGUGGUUAUGCAGUGUUCCUAGGAUCUUCUUUGUUGUUGAUUAAUUAAGUAAAAGAAUGUUUAGACAAGGCUUGUUUUAGGCAAGCCACUGUGCGAUGUACUGGAGACAUGUUAUUAAAGGUCUUUGCCCUUAAAGCAUUACUGUUAAACACAA